GAGCGAUGAAGGUCUUCGGAUCGUAAGCUCUGUGGGGGGAGAAGAGAAAGUCGGUGAAGAGCCGACCCUGACGGUAUCCCUUAGCAAGCACCGGCUAACUCCGUGCCAGCAGCCGCGGUAAUACGGAGGGUGCAAACGUUGCUCGGAAUCAUUGGGCGUAAAGCGCGCGUAGGCGGCUGAACAAGUUGGAUGUGAAAGCCCUGGGGCUCAACCUAGGAUGUGCAUUCAAAACUGUUCGGUUUGAGUCUCGGAGGGGGUCAGAGAAUUCUCGGUGUAGAGGUGAAAUUCGUAGAUAUCGGGAGGAACACCAGUGGCGAAGGCGCUGACCUGGACGAUGACUGACGCUGAGGCGCGAAAGCGUGGGGAGCAAACAGGAUUAGAUACCCUGGUAGUCCACGCCGUAAACGAUGAGUGCUAGACGCUGGCGGAUUGACCCCGUCGGUGUCGAAGCUAACGCGUUAAGCACUCCGCCUGGGGAGUACGGUCGCAAGACUAAAACUCAAAGGAAUUGACGGGGG
rnacentral:rRNA from 1 species